UACGUAGGGUGCGAGCGUUGUCCGGAAUUACUGGGCGUAAAGAGCUCGUAGGCGGUUUGUCGCGUCGUCCGUGAAAACUUGGGGCUCAACCCCAAGCUUGCGGGCGAUACGGGCAGACUUGAGUACUGCAGGGGAGACUGGAAUUCCUGGUGUAGCGGUGGAAUGCGCAGAUAUCAGGAGGAACACCGGUGGCGAAGGCGGGUCUCUGGGCAGUAACUGACGCUGAGGAGCGAAAGCGUGGGGAGCGAACAGG
rnacentral:rRNA from 1 species